CCAACUUUUGCUUGGCCUGUCGUCUCUUUAGUAGUCUCACUCUUACACUUCAGUUUCUAUGUAUAAAUCCUAGCGCUUGUUACUUGCAUGGGUAAGUUGUCCAAUGCCAGUUUCUGAGACUUGGGGGUUGUGAAAGCAUCAGCUUUAAAGGUUGCCAAAAGUUAUAUAUGGGGAGAGGAACAAAGCAACAGGUGCAGGUUCAGGUGCUGGUGCAGGUGAAUGCCAUCUUGGCUCUUUUAAGACGCUCCCGUUGGCCGUACGUGCUUUUAACAUAAUUUGUUAGAAAAGACAUGUCAGUUUCUUGCCUCUUACGAUGUGAUUCCAAAAGCGUUCUUUUGACCAAAGAUCGAUCCAUAUGCAAGGAACUGUUAUUAGAAAGAUGUAGUCGUCUUCCCACAAGAAGGCUUUUGAAGGUGAUGAUCUCUUGUAGUUAUCUUUCUCUUUGUAUUAUUUGUAUUAUAUAUAACAACAGCUGAGGUGAUCAGGAAGAUUCUAAGGAAUAGGCUUCUAGGAUCAGGUAUAGAAUCUCUCUCUCUCUAAAGCUAUAGGACAGUAUACUUCUGCACAGUAAAACUUAGAAUAUAUGAUAAUCUCUUAGCCUGGUAGAGUUAAGAUGCA